rnacentral:lncRNA from 1 species
AGGAUUCAAGCUUACUUCUCAAGACACUUGGAGUUGCUUCCCCAAGUUGGUGAGUCCUCAAGUCCGAGGACAAGACCCUAUGAUCUAGCUUCUAUGUUUAGUUCUUUGCUUAUGUUGAAAGACAUUGUUGUACUUCCUAUUUGCAAGACUUCUUAUUGAUGUAAGGGCUAAGUCCCAUUUUCGAUACUUCUAUGUCUAGAUGGUGCAUUGUGACGAAGUUAGAUUCUAUUUUUCAUAUAUGAAGUGAAGUUGAACUUCCAAA